rnacentral:rRNA from 1 species
AUUGAACGCUGGCGGCAGGCUUAACACAUGCAAGUCGAGCGAGCGGCGGACGGGUGAGUAAUGUCUGGGAAACUGCCUGAUGGAGGGGGAUAACUACUGGAAACGGUAGCUAAUACCGCAUAACAUCCGAUGUGCCCAGAGUGGAUUAGCUAGCAGGUGGGGUAAUGGCUCACCUAGGCGACGAUCCCUAGCUGGUCUGAGAGGGUGAACAGCCACACUGGAACUGAGACACGGUCCAGACUCCUACGGGAGGCAGCAGUGGGGAAUAUUGCACAAUGGGCGAAAGCCUGAUGCAGCCAUGCCGCGUGUAUGAAGAAGGCCUUCGGGUUGUAAAGUACUUUCAGCGGGGAGGCGUUACCCAAAGAAGAAGCACCGGCUAACUACGUGCCAGCAGCCGCGGUAAUAC